GAUGAACGCUAGCUACAGGCUUAACANAUGCAAGUCGAGGGGCAGCAUGAACAUAGCUUGCUAUGUUUGAUGGCGACCGGCGCACGGGUGCGUAACACGUAUCCAAUCUGCCCCGUUACUCGGGGGAUAGCCUUCUGAAAAGGAAGAUUAAUACCCGAUGGCAUGUAUUUCCGGCAUCGGAGAUACAUUAAAGAUUUAUCGGUAACGGAUGAGGAUGCGUACGAUUAGCUAGUUGGCGGGUAACGGCCCACCAAGGCGACGAUCGUUAGGGGUUCUGAGAGGAAGGUCCCCCACACUGGAACUGAGAUACGGCCCAGACUCCUACGGGAGGCAGCAGUGGGGAAUAUUGGGCAAUGGGGGAAACCCUGACCCAGCAACGCCGCGUGAAGGAAGAAGGCCUUCGGGUUGUAAACUUCUUUUAGCAGGGACGAAGGACGUGACGGUACCUGCAGAAAAAGCAACGGCUAACUACGUG
rnacentral:rRNA from 1 species